CACCAGCCCCACUACGCGGUAG
rnacentral:miRNA from 1 species